CGUGACAGGGGAUUCCAAGUGCUCAUGCAUUGCAUGGGCUGUUCUUUGGUCUAAGUAACCAGAGGAGUAAGGGCUGGGCAAGACCGGUGCCAGCCGCCGCGGUAAUACCGGCAGCUCGAGUGGUAGCCGCGAUUAUUGGGCCUAAAACGUUCGUAGCCGGAUAAGUAAGUCUUUGGUUAAAUCCUACGACUUAACCGUGGGAAAUCUAGAGAUACUGCUUGUCUUGAGACCGGGAGAGGUUGGAGGUACUCCCAGGGUAGGGGUGAAAUCCCUGUAAUCC
rnacentral:rRNA from 1 species